AAAUUUUCAGACACGUACACAUGUAUUUUAUCAUGUUCAGCCCUCUCUUCCCUCUCUGAUAUUUCUUGGAUCCUCCAUUCAUGCCAUUCUUAACUAAAACCGCUUCUAAUUCUAUUUAUGUAUCGUUUUUAAAACUGAUUAAAUCCAACUGGUAUUAUCCAGUAUUUAUCUUUGCAACAAGUCCUGCGCCAUUCUGUCUGUGACUGAUCCAUGUUUGUCAUUGUCAACAGGAAGCCAUAUCUUGAAAACAAAGACGAAUUUGGAGAAGUCAUAGAUUUCUCUCAGCCAGCAUCAUUCACUGGCCUUCCGGAAGAGCUUGUGGAGUGAGGAGAGGAACCUCAAAGUGAGCCCACCAAGCAAUAUUGAACAAGAAGACUGGGGACGCGUCUUUGACUUAGUAUGGGAAGAAAAGUCAUGAAGCUAAUUGUAUUCAAAGCACUGAGAUUCUUAUUCAGUUUUUAGUGCAGUAAACAUCAGUUGAUAUCUACUGAAGGCCAUAAUGAAAUGAAGACCAUACAGAAAAUGAAAGACAGCUCUUGUUCUGUGGAGAGCAAAGGCUUGUGCUUACUACAGUCAAGUGACUGUACAGGGGGAACAUGCAAGAGGAACGAGGAAGCUUUUAGAUUAAACAUUUGAGAGUGACCAGCAAUGCAGAUCCUGUAUUAUUCUGGGAAAGAAGAAGAAUGAAAAAAAAAUUUUUAAUGAGCCAUGUGAGAAACUUUGGAUACUUAACUAUAUCUAAGAACAAGUAAUAGCAGAGACAAAGUUGACAGCAGAAACCAAGGUCAAUAAAAUGCUAUGACAAUUUGCCUAGAUAGUCCUAAAUGUCCUCAUGAUGAUCAAAUGACAUUGAUACAUGUCAAGUAUGGAAAUAAUGUAAUCAAAGUGCUCUUCUAAAGUGACUGCUCAAAUCUUAUUUUGGAGAAUGGAUUGAAAUUGUAUUCCAUUACAUUAACAUUUACAUUGAGAUACCUACAGGCAUGGUAACCUGCAGGAUGCAUAAGAAAGACUUUCACUGCGUGAGCCUGAGAUAAUAUGUAUGAAGAGAAUAAACUAACAUAUUGCAGGUAGGAAGGCAGCCAUGCAAUAACAGUAGGCGUAUAUAAGCCUUAUUUUAUGUCAUCAGUAUAUCAAUUAUGCAGAGUAUUUACUGGAACUGUCUUAUAGAAGAAAAAUGAGAGUAUGAAAGUUAUGUAAUUUAUUAAAGACUCAUAGCUAGCAAGUUACAGAAUCUAAAAUCAGAGUUCAAUUGCUCUGAAUUUUAAAUCACGGAACCCUGAACUCCCACUCUAUGUAGCCCUUUGUCUCUAGGCUAUUUAUUUGGUAUCUGAGUUCCUACUUAGCAAAGAUGCGGACAAAAUACAGAGACAUGAAUACAAGUUCCAUCUAAACGUUCAACUCUCUGACUCCACAGCUUUUCAGUCAUUGGGCAGCAUAGAGGACCAGAGUUAAUCCAGCAGGACUGACAGCAGGAGGCAAAAGAAGUCAUGUGGCCCUGCAGGUCUCUGAGAUUACUUGAUUUCCAUUCCUAUUAACUGGCAGUCUGAGCCACAUUAUUUGGAAUAAUUAACUAUGUGUCUCUAAGGAAUAUGUCCUUUCCUCCUCUCUUGCCUUUCUGAUAGAAGAAUGAGUCUAGGAGAAAGGACAAAAUAUCUCCAUGGAAAUGAACCUUCUGUCUCAUUUCCAACAAUGAGGCCAUCUUUAAUUUUUUCCUGCUCAUCCUCCUACACCUUGAUAAUGUCAUCGUUUUUAUACCAUUUCUGAGGAUAAGGAGCUCUGAGGCACCUGCAUUAAGCAAUUAUCCUAGGGAUCAGCAAGCCCAAGCCCGUGAUAUUUACUUAAAAUUCUCAAUUUGGUGGAUAUGUCAAGGUCUUUAUAAACAAUACUGACUUUUUCCACGUUAGCAAAUUAGUACCGUGUCCAGAAUAAUCAUCCCCACAAGGAGAAUGACAUGUUCUUAUAUCCCAUCUUCUUCACUGGUGACAAGUGCCAUUUCAAGCAAUUUGUGAAAUAAAAUUUUAAGAUUGCAUGGGAAUAACGCCUAAGUUGCAAAACAGAAAAAAAUGAUUGCAUGAAGCUAAAAGAGAAAACAGAGGGUCUAUCCUGAGGGUAGGCAAUACAGAGCUAUCUUAGUCUUUGACAGAUUUUUGACUUACAAAAAGCAUUUUACAAGACAGUAACAUGCAAAAAGCACUUUUGAAAGCUUCGUGAUCACAGAGACGGCUCAUGUGGAGUCCUAUCAAAUGAGAUGCAGACAAUAAAAUCUAGGAACCAAAAAUUUGAGUAUGCAUAUUACAAGAGUUUUUCUUAAUAAACAAAAGAUACCAAUGUAACACUUUAAUCUAAUAAAAAGAGAACUUUCCCACAAAUUCCACUCUUAGUUUUAUUUUGUUUUAUAUCCAGAAUAGUUAAAAGCAGCAAUUUAAACAGCAAUAUUAAACCAAUAUUUACAAUAACAUUAUUCACAAUAGCUAAAAUAGUAAAAGCAAACAACUACCUAUCUCUAGAUAAAAACAUAGAAAUAUCAUAUAAAAUGCAAUGGCUUAGCACACAGACAUAAAAAGGAAAACAACUUUCUUUCACAUACAACAAUAUACAUAGACCUUGAAAAUAGUAUAACACUGAAAUAAAUCAAACACAGAGCAAAUGCUGUGUGUUUCCACUAGAAGAGGCAAGUCCACAGAGAGACAGUAGAGCUGAUGCUAAGCUGGGGCAGGAGAAAGAAUCACUAGUUAUUGGGCUCGGAAUUUUUACUGGGGAUGAUGAAAAAUUGACAUAUAGAUAAUAAUGGUGCUUACACACAAUUGUGAUUGUAUCUAAAGCCACUCAAGUGUACAGUUUCAAGUGGUUACAACAUACUUUAUCAUAGUAUCCUCUAGAAAGAAGUCUAUCUAUUCUUAAACUAAAAAUGCUUAGAGUCUUCAUACUUUGGUGACAGAGAGUCCAGGACUCUGAACCACAAUAAAACAUCAUUUUCAAACAUCUUUUAACUAGUGGCAUCCUGAUGAAUUUUCAAGAAAUGAUGAACCUCUUUCUGGGGAAAGCAGUAUGAAGAAAACAUAAAAACACUGUUGUAGGAAAUUUGGGAGCAAAUUUCAUGAUAUCCAGAAGCCCCCUCACUGAGUUUGAUUUGGAGAUCAGCCAUGUUGCAGAGACACCAGAUGUGAGGAGUCCUAGUCACCUGCUCCUGCCGCUGAGAAUUUCCCCACCAGAACAGGCACGCACCAUCUCAGACCAGGAGCCAAAAUAAAGCUGCCGCCCUUGUGUUAUUCCUAUUAGAUGCUUUAUCACAGAGGCAAGAAAAGUAACAACAGAGCAACAGCCAAAGGAAGAGAAUUCUCACUGACAUGUGAUGUUCAAGUUUAUCUGAUGUCCUCAAGAAACAAACAAACAAACAAACAAAAAAUAAAAUCACAGAAGAAAGGGACACCCCUCCCAAAGUGCAUCCAUGAGGUCUGAGCUUUGCUAUGCUGAGUCUUGCAGCCCACAUCAGGCAUGGGGAAGGACAAUAAAGUCAGUGUAAACGAUAAGGCAUCAAACACUGUGGCUCAUCUCAUUGCAAUACAGUCUGUUUAAUAAGCUAUUGCAUUCAUUUUUAGGGCUAUUUUGAGACUUCCCUGCACACAGCUGUCUUCUCCCUGCCCCCCAAGGAAAACUUAAUGAUAUGCUUUCUGUGUGAAAAGAGGUUGUUUUUUUUUUUUUUUUAAAUCCGGUUAUAAUUUGAAAAGGAACAACUAAAAUUACACAUGUUGAAAUAAUAAAGGAAACGCACUCCCCUUUAU